rnacentral:rRNA from 1 species
GAACGCUGGCGGCAGGCCUAACACAUGCAAGUCGAACGGUAACAGGAAACAGCUUGCUGUUCGCUGACGAGUGGCGGACGGGUGAGUAAUGUCUGGGAAACUGCCUGAUGGAGGGGGAUAACUACUGGAAACGGUAGCUAAUACCGCAUAACGUCGCAAGACCAAAGAGGGGGACCUUCGGGCCUCUUGCCAUCGGAUGUGCCCAGAUGGGAUUAGCUUGUUGGUGGGGUAACGGCUCACCAAGGCGACGAUCCCUAGCUGGUCUGAGAGGAUGACCAGCCACACUGGAACUGAGACACGGUCCAGACUCCUACGGGAGGCAGCAGUGGGGAAUAUUGCACAAUGGGCGCAAGCCUGAUGCAGCCAUGCCGCCGUGUAUGAAGAAGGCCUUCGGGUUGUAAAGUACUUCAGCGGGGAGGAAGGGAGUAAAGUUAAUACCUUUGCUCAUUGACGUUACCCGCAGAAGAAGCACCGGCUAACUCCGUGCCAGCCGCCGC